GAUGAACGCUAGCGGCAGGCUUAACACAUGCAAGUCGAGGGGUAACAGGGUUGCUUGCAACCGCUGACGACCGGCGCACGGGUGCGUAACGCGUAUAGAAUCUACCUUAUACUGAGGGAUAGCCCAGAGAAAUUUGGAUUAAUACCUCAUGGUAUCAUAGAGUGGCAUCGCUUUAUGAUUAAAGGCUACGGUAUAAGAUGACUAUGCGUCCUAUUAGCUAGUUGGUGUGGUAACGGCAUACCAAGGCGACGAUAGGUAGGGGUCCUGAGAGGGAGAUCCCCCACACUGGUACUGAGACACGGACCAGACUCCUACGGGAGGCAGCAGUGAGGAAUAUUGGACAAUGGAGGCAACUCUGAUCCAGCCAUGCCGCGUGUAGGAAGACUGCCCUAUGGGUUGUAAACUACUUUUGUACAGGAAGAAACGGCUCUACGUGUAGAGUUUUGACGGUACUGUAAGAAUAAGGAUCGGCUAACUCCG
rnacentral:rRNA from 1 species